CUCAAUAUCUGGCCAGAUAUGAUAUCCACUGCAUCCCUAGUUAUUUGUUAUGUUUCAUUGUCUUGAAAUGCCGAACGACUUUAUUGUUAAGGGGAGAGUGUUGGUAUGACUGUACAGUAUAUUCGUAUUCAACAUACUUAUUUAAUAUAUGCACCAUUUGUACCCUUUUAUAGUUAACCCUCAGAUGUGUAAUGGCUUCCCUUCCACAUGCACUGGGAGACUGACAGACCUACCAAAACAAGACAGGCAACCAAGGAGACCGGCAGACCCACCAAAACAAGACAGGCAAGCAUGUAAGUUUACUGAUAUUUUUCUUUGUGAUAUAAGUUAACACAUUGCGCCCUGAUGUGCCCUGCUUUAUUAUUUUACUCUGUCUAACGCCAGAUGAUUUACUCAUCAAGGGCAGAGCUCUGGUGCUUAAUGGAUUAACUGGCCUAUCUGCCCAUGUGUCUAGUUAAUCCAUUGAGUUGCAUUGCACCAAUGUGCCUUGCUUUAUUAUUUUACUCUGUCUACUGCCAGACAAUUUACUCGUCAAGGGGAGAGCUCUGGCAUUUAAUAGGUACAGUAACUUAACUGGCCUAUCUGGCCAUAUGUCUAAUAAUCUAGUUAAUCCAUUCAGUUGCAUUGUGCCAAUGCGCCCUGCUUUAAGUAUUAUUUUACUCUGUCAAACGAUUUAGUCGUAUGACAUGUGGACAGUGACUGACUGAAACAGUACAGGCUUGACUGCAGUCACUGACAAGAAGAAAAUUCAGAUCUCACAAUGUAUAUUAAUUUUACUGUAUAAACCAUAUAAUAUAAACCAUAUAAUUUCUAAACCAUUUAUAUAUUUCAUUUAUAUAUUUCUAAACCAUAUAUAUAUAUUUCUAAACCAUUUAUAAACCAUAUAAUUUCUUUUAUUAGUCCAUGCUGACAGCAAAUGCCUUAACUGAGGUGGAUAGGCCCAAGAAUUUUUCGAAAUUAACUAAGAAUGCAAGAAAAAGAUUCAAUGUGAACUGGAGAAGCAGGAGAACUGUUAAGAGAACACAAACAUGCAGUAUUUGUUUUAAUAUUUUAGUAAUGAUAUUAUAUGCAUUUCUUAAUUUUAAUCUUUGGUCUUGUCCCUGCAUGGUGUUACUGGUAACCCACCCCUGAUUUUUUAUUUCUGCAUGCUUUUAGUUGAGUAAUGCAUAUACAGGGUGUAUCAAAAAAUGUCCCAAAUGGAUAAUUUCCUCAAAAUCAUACAAAAUUUGGGAUAUUUUUU